rfam:Canis lupus familiaris chromosome 14, whole genome shotgun sequence.
AGGAGGAACAGCCCCAGUGUCGGGGCAGCUCUGGAAACCUGGAUUCAGCUCCGGCAGGAACUACAGAGUUCUCCGUCUGCAGGGCCUGGAGGCUCCGGGCGGGG